rnacentral:misc_RNA from 1 species
GUUUAUAGCUAUAACUAACGACGAAAUCAGUGAACAACUGGGUCGUCGUGAAAUCUACAUAGCAUUUCGUGGAACAACGAGGAAUUACGAAUGGGUCAAUGUUCUUGGUGCUCGAUCUGAAUCAGCUGAACCUCUAAUCUGUAAUGGAGGAAGUAUUUGUAAUGAUGACGAAAAUGCCCCUAGAGUGAUGAAUGGGUGGUUGAAGAUCUACAUAUCCAGUGACCCAAAAUCACCAUUUACGAGAUUAAGUAUUAGAGCACAGCUUCAAGUAAUGAUUGAAGAUCUAAGAGAUCGGUAUAAAAAGGAGAAUCUGAGUAUAACUUUUACUGGGCACAGUUUAGGUGCAAGUUUAUCAAUUUUAGCAGCU